UGGGGAAUUUUGGACAAUGGGCGCAAGCCUGAUCCAGCCAUGCCGCGUGCAGGAUGAAGGCCUUCGGGUUGUAAACUGCUUUUGUACGGAGCGAAAAGGUGCCUUCUAAUAAAGGGCGCUCAUGACGGUACCGUAAGAAUAAGCACCGGCUAACUUCGUGCCAGCAGCCGCGGUAAUACGAAGGAUGCAAGCGUUAUCCGGAAUUAUUGGGUUUAAAGGGUGCGUAGGCGGACUAAUAAGUCAGUGGUGAAAGCCUGCAGCUUAACUGCAGAAUUGCCAUUGAUACUGUUAGUCUUGAGUACAGUUGAGGUAGGCGGAAUGUGUCAUGUAGCGGUGAAAUGCUUAGAUAUGACACAGAACACCGAUUGCGAAGGCAGCUUGCUAAGCUGUAACUGACGCUGAGGCACGAAAGCGUGGGGAGCAAACA
rnacentral:rRNA from 1 species